rnacentral:rRNA from 1 species
AACGAACGCUGGCGGCAUGCCUAACACAUGCGAGUCGAACGAGACCUUCGGGUCUAGUGGCUCACGGGUGCGUAACGCGUGGGAACCUGCCCUUAGGUUCGGAAUAACUCCCCGAAAGGGGUGCUAAUACCGGAUAAUGUCUUCGGACCAAAGAUUUAUCGCCUUUGGAUGGGCCCGCGUUGGAUUGGCUAGUUGGUAGGGUAAAAGCCUACCAAGGCAACGAUCGAUAGCUGGUCUGAGAGGAUGAUCAGCCACACUGGGACUGAGACACGGCCCAGACUCCUACGGGAGGCAGCAGUGGGGAAUAUUGGACAAUGGGCGAAAGCCUGAUCCAGCAAUGCCGCGUGAGUGAUGAAGGCCUUAGGGUUGUAAAGCUCUUUUACCCGGGAUGAUAAUGACAGUACCGGGAGAAUAAGCUCCGGCUAACUCCGUG